UCCGUAGGCGGUUUGGUAAGUCAGUGGUGAAAGCCCAUCGCUCAACGGUGGAACGGCCAUUGAUACUGCCAGACUUGAAUUAUUAGGAAGUAACUAGAAUAUGUAGUGUAGCGGUGAAAUGCUUAGAGAUUACAUGGAAUACCAAUUGCGAAGGCAGGUUACUACUAAUGGAUUGACGCUGAUGGACGAAAGCGUGGGUAGCGAACA
rnacentral:rRNA from 1 species